rnacentral:rRNA from 2 species
GCAAACAGGAUUAGAUACCCUGGUAGUCCACGCCGUAAACGAUGAGUGCUAAGUGUUAGAGGGUUUCCGCCCUUUAGUGCUGCAGCUAACGCAUUAAGCACUCCGCCUGGGGAGUACGGUCGCAAGACUGAAACUCAAAGGAAUUGACGGGGGCCCGCACAAGCGGUGGAGCAUGUGGUUUAAUUCGAAGCAACGCGAAGAACCUUACCAGGUCUUGACAUCCUCUGACAACUCUAGAGAUAGAGCAUUCCCCUUCGGGGGACAGAGUGACAGGUGGUGCAUGGUUGUCGUCAGCUCGUGUCGUGAGAUGUUGGGUUAAGUCCCGCAACGAGCGCAACCCUUGAUCUUAGUUGCCAGCAUUUAGUUGGGCACUCUAAGGUGACUGCCGGUGACAAACCGGAGGAAGGUGGGGAUGACGUCAAAUCAUCAUGCCCCUUAUGACCUGGGCUACACACGUGCUACAAUGGAUGGUACAAAGGGCUGCAAGACCGCGAG